GCCUAUCCCAGCUAUUCCCAGCUCUCUGCGUGUAAAGCUAACCUGCCCUUGAGCCCAGGGUCCGUACUGAAGGCGGCUGGGAAACCCUUCUCCCACCUGCAGCAUCAUGACGCUGGCUGACUCUGGAGCCCAGGUGAUGCCCUUGGUUCAGAACCACAAAGACAUAGUUUGGGAAUCGACGUAAGCACUCACUGGCUGUAAUCCUGCAAACUCCAGAUAGUGCCACCAUCCUUGAGAAAAUCUGUCUUCAGACUGCCUGACGAGCUGAUGAGUCCUCUCUCCAAAGGAGCUCUGGGAAGAGGGAGACUUUCGCCAGAAGACACACUACAGAAGAAUCCAAGACUUCUCUAUGCUAAAGUUUCUACUGGAAUCAACUCAUUUAGUUUGUCAAGUAGCUGAGUUCACCGCACCGGCUGAGGCUGAAGAAAAUAUUCUCUAGGAAGACACAGGCAGGAUGGUGCAAGAUCUUUGUGGAACCGGAUGGGUGUGUGACCCCUGUUCUGAUGUUUGAUGAUAUUUCUCAACUCCUAAAGAAUAAGGAACACAUCUUGAAAAAAAAAAAUCAUGAAUCAACAAGAGGUAAUAGCCCCAAUGAUUGUUUUAUUCUUUUCCAAACCUCCAGUUUCUGUCCUUUCCAGAGUUCAGUCCCCAAAAAACACUCAGAAGGAAUAUUCAGAAAAUAUGGCUUUAUCAUAGAAAAUAGAGCCUGAUUCCACCCUUUGGGAGUCAUUAAAAGCAGUAAACCAACAGCUAAUCCACAGCAUUUAACAGUAAAAAGUACCUGUUCUGUAAGUAAUCCGGGAAGCUUAAGUUGAUAUGUGUGAUUUGGGAAAAUCACGAGUGCUUUCAUUUGGGGAGAAGUUCAUUCUUGUGUCAAGAUGAAAUCUAUGCUCUCAGAAAAUUCAAAGAAUGCUGGCAUAUUUUAGUUAAUCUUCUGUAGUUUUUACACCAAGUAAAGACUGUAGACUUCACAUGUAUUGUUAUUAUUCUAAAUGAAAGCCAAACCAGUGCCAUAUUUGAUAGGUAUUAUGCCUGAAGUUAUUUUAAAAUAUUGUGUCAUGUCUGGAAACUGAUACAAGUCUCUGCAUGAUCAUAGUUUUAAAAAUCAUUUAACUAUUUUCUUGGGUUUUCACUAGUGGUGGAAAAGAGAAAACAUGAAUUAAAAUGUAGUAAUUACAUACAAUGUACUUCAGGAUAAGAGGGAAUGGAAACGCUUUAACAAAAUGUGAAUAUACAUGCUUUAAGCCUCGGAAGCCAGACAAGCACGUACAUUGUAAUGUACCAGGAACUCUGUGCUUUCACAUAUGUUAAAAAAAAGAAACCCCCAGGCCUAAAAUGGUGUCACUUAGACCGAGUUUCCAAACUGGGGCUUAAAACCCAAUCUGAUUGCAGUUUCUACCCUCCCCAGAAACAUGACCUUAACUGGUCAGUUUGGAAAUUUUUUCUUUCCAUCAGUGCCCACAGGUCUGCCACCUGGGUCCUCUCCAUCCCCUGAUGAAAGACAAGGUCAUCUGUGUAAUAAGACACCUUGCUUUUCCCUUUAGCAAACAUCAUGGUCUGGAACAAUCCUUUUCUUCUGCUAAUAACUUUCUUGCCCCCACGCUAUGUCUAUAAAAACCUUCCAUUUUAUACUUCUCAGAGCUCCCCUCUACUUGCUAGGUGGGGUGGCUGCUUGGUUCAUGAAUCACUUGGUAGAAAGCCACUUGGAUCUUCAAAUGUAUUUGGUUAAAUUUUUGUUAUGUAGUACAUAUAAUGAGUGAUAUGUAUUUUUUUUCCCUGAAGUGGUUCCAUUUCCUUCCUUCCUUCCUUCCUUCCUUCCUUCCUUCCUUCCUUCCUUCCUUCCUUCCUUCCUUCCUUCCUUCCUCUCAUUCUUUCAUUCUUUCUCUGUUUCUCUCUGCCUCUUUCUUUUUGUCAUACAAAAUGACCUCAUUUCACAAAAAUGAUCUCUUCUUUUCAUACCAGGUUUUCUUUGGGAUGUAAGUGUGUGUGUGUGUGUGUGUGUGUGUGUGUGUGUGCGGGGUGGGGGUGGGGGGUUACCUUGCUUUUUUUCCUCUAUCUCCAGGGAAUUGUAACUCUGUUCCCACUCCAUCUUCCUGGGCAUAGUUCAAGCAAACUGACAUCUUCCCCAUCCAAACUCUAAGUGCCUUCUAAUUUUUAUGAAUUAUAGGGACUUUAAAGGUUUAUUAAAUUAGCUCAUAUAAAUAAAAGUAAUAAAAUUCAUAUGCCAGAUAAAUCCAUUUGUGUUCUGGAGGGGCUCAGCCUUACACAGCAGGUAGGUAGCCUCAAAGCCACACUCCAGCAUCUGACAGGCCUGUCUCUUGCAGGCUCUCAGCUCAGAGUCCCCAGUGCUCUGCUGGGAGGUACAUUCCACACAGUCUGGGCCUAGGGUAUUGGUCCCUCAGGAAACAAAACAAAACAACUAACCAGAUUAAAAAAAAAUCCAAACAAUAAGUGAAGGCAUUUCCUAUCCAUGCUAGUCUCUUUUAACAUUGAUCAAAAACUUCAAACAUUAUCAAUCCCAGUUUCCUCUAUUAACAACAUUGCUUACUAUUUAUUUGUCUUCUCCUUUCUUUAAGCCAACUAUUGGUGUGUGUGUGUGUGUGUGUGUGUGUGUGUGUGUGUGUGAAAGAGUUUAAUAUAGUUAUUUUUUGCUAUAUACACUGUUCAUAUCUCACGUUUUUCUCAAUUGAACAUUUCUCUUUUAACUUUAUAGAGUUUCUUACUUGGGCCUAAGUUGUACAUUUUUGUGAAAUUGAUGCUGAUAGCAUAAAAAUUAAAAAAGAUAAGUUUAUGUCGUGGAAGAUUGCAAAAAUGGCCACAAGUUUUCAUGCCCCUUAUUUGUGCCCUUUGCAAUACAACUUUGCUGUGUGUCCCAUCAAGUCGUUGACCUAUUUCCCGACUCAUGACCUGUAUUGGCCAGUGGAAUACAGCAGCAGUAAAAAGGUGCACCAUUUGUUCUCUUUCCUAAAACGUUACCUCUGCCAUGUAAAAAAUCCAAGCCAGCUUCCUGGAAGAUGAGAGACAUGUGUCCUACUUGCCCUCAAUCCAUGCCAAUAUCCUGCCAACUAACAGACAUGUGGGUAAGGCCACCAGCCACUCCCCCUCAGCCCACCUGCCAGAUGACCACAGCCUCCGGAACAGCCCAGUUGACAUCAGCCACUCUUGUCCCAGAUCAGCAGAAUGGACCAGAUGACCUGCAGAUGUGUGAGCAAUAGUAAAUGAUUGCAGCUUUCAAGCACUCAGCUUUGGGACAAUUUGCUAUAAGGCAGUAAAUACCUGAUUCACUUAUACACUUAUAUUUUCUUUGAACAUUGCUUGUCCUUAACUCUUUAAUCCAUAUAAAGUUUAUUUUUGUGCAUAG